GCCCGGGAUAGCUCAGUAGGUAAAGCCUGAGACUCUUAAUCUCAGGGUCAUGUGUUUGAACCCCACGUUGGGCA